rnacentral:rRNA from 1 species
GUUCCCCCGCCUGGGGAGUACGGCCGCAAGGCUAAAACUCAAAGGAAWUUGACGGGGGCCCGCACAAGCGGCGGAGCAUGCGGAUUAAUUCGAUGCAACGCGAAGAACCUUACCAAGGCUUGACAUAUACGAGAACGGGCUAGAAAUAGUCAACUCUUUGGACACUCGUAAACAGGUGGUGCAUGGUUGUCGUCAGCUCGUGUCGUGAGAUGUUGGGUUAAGUCCCGCAACGAGCGCAACCCUCGUUCUAUGUUGCCAGCACGUAAUGGUGGGAACUCAUAGGAGACUGCCGGGGUCAACUCGGAGGAAGGUGGGGAUGACGUCAAAUCAUCAUGCCCCUUAUGUCUUGGGCUUCACGCAUGCUACAAUGGCCGGUACAAAGGGCUGCAAUACCGUAAGGUGGAGCGAAUCCCAAAAAGCCGGUCUCAGUUCGGAUUGAGGUCUGCAACUCGACCUCAUGAAGUCGGAGUCGCUAGUAAUCGCAGAUCAGCAACGCUGSGGUGAAUACGUUCCCGGGCCUUGUACACACCGCC